GUUUUAUUAAGAACAUGGGAUUCAGUACUCUGUGCUUAUCCCUUGAGUAAUUCUUGCUCUCUGCCUGAAACACUGUCUCUCAUCCCAGGGUGGCUGAAUUGCAGUGGUGAGCAAAUAAUGAUGUCUACAGCAAAUAAUCAGGUGGUGAAGAGCAUUGGGUGCUUGGAGAUCUUUGGCCAGAGGAUACAGCACCAAGUUAUUCUCUCCUUGGCAGGAGGACCUGGGGGCUCUGGAUGAUGGGUGAGGCGAGGAGGCCAGAUGACCAAAUACCUCUCCUCCAGAAGUGCCAAGGGCUUGAUCAAAACACACUGAAAGCAAUGGAAACAACGAGUGCAAGCAGAAUUACUGUUUGAAGAGCAGUCCUUCUUCUUCCAAAACUGGUACAGAAAGGAAUUUUUCCUGUCAGACAGCACCUGCCAUCUGAAUGAAAGCAGCAUCCUUGGAAACAGCUAUUUACCAAAGAAUUUAAUACAAGAGAAAAUUAAUAAUUUUGAAAGAGCUGAAUUUCUUAACUGGGAUAUCCUACCUGCCCACCUGACAGAACACCAGACAGAACCUGACCUGGCUGAUUGAGAGCAGCUCUACUCCAAAUGGUUCAGGAUGUAAAGUGGAGGAGCAUUGUGUGCCACCUGUGCCACCUGCAGAAUCAUCCACAGAGACAAACAGAAUGAGGAAAGACCCCUUAUUUUAAUAAUAAAACCAAUAAUAGUAUAAAGCA
rnacentral:lncRNA from 1 species